rnacentral:rRNA from 1 species
UACGGAGGAUGCGAGCGUUAUCCGGAUUUAUUGGGUUCAAAGGGUGCGCAGGCGGCACGGCAAGCCGGCGGUCAAAUCGCGGGGCUCAACCCCGCCCAGCCGUCGGAACUGCCGGGCUAGAGUGGGCGAGAAGUGCGCGGAAUGCGUGGUGUAGCGGUGAAAUGCAUAGAUAUCACGCAGAACUCCGAUUGCGAAGGCAGCGCACCGGCGCCCUACUGACGCUCAGGCACGAAAGCGUGGGUAUCGAACAGG